GGAGCUAGACGUGCAGGUGUGAGAUGGUGGAACCAUCCCCUUACAUGUCGCAGUCUCCAUCCCUACAGCCGGGUGGGUCCCAAGGUACUGCAGCCCACAGGUGGAAGCAAUGAACCCCCCUGGAUAUAGGCAGUGGUUCCCAGCUCUCUGUUCCUGGGAAACACAGGGCUGGGGCAGCUUUUAGAGCAGGGCCACAGCGAAUGUGAGCAGCAGCGAUGGAGCCUCAGCUCCUUGUCUUCCUGAGGAAGAAGGCAGCAGUUGGGUGUGCCUGUCAGCCUCCUCCGCCUCUGUCCCCGCAGGCAGUAGAAGAAGGUUGCUUAUUCCACCUAUAUCCACAAGCUCCUAAACCAGGCACGGUCCCCCGGAGCCUCCUGCCUGGUGGCUGUUGCCCUCGCCAGCCCCUGGCUGCUCGGGGCCGUGGCGCUGGAGGCCGCCCGGUUGUCCCGCUGUGGCAGGAGGCGUCACCUUAGUCACCAAGAGGUUCUGCUGGCUGUGGAGCUGGUGCUGCUGCGGGAGCUCUGCAAGCUUCCUGCAGGACCCUCGAGCUGUGAGCUGCUGCUGAGGGGAGAGUCUUGAGAGAGUGUUUUAAUGUGGUUUUGAUAAAUAAAGUAUUUAUUAGCAUUAUUUAAUGGAGACUCCUACCUGGGCUGGCAGCUGCUGGGCUUGGACCACCAUGGAGCUGGUCCCUGUGUGCCCCAGGAAGGGGGCAGGAGGGAAGGUGCUCACACCUGCACCUUGAUGGGUGUUUGCAGAGCAGCCUGCAAGCGCAUGAAUGGUCCCUGGAGGUCUGCAGGAUGCUGCCUGGCCAGAGAAACCUCUUUUUCUCUGCCAGCCCAGGCUGCCUGGGGCCUGCCAGGCACCUCUUUGCACCAGAUUUGGCCAAGAAAGG